AUAGAGGUUCAUUGAAUGUUUGAUGGCCAUGAAGGCAUCAGCGGCUGGCAGAAAGUCAUUCACAGCUACCUCCUUGUUCUCAUUCUUCUUGUAGUCUUCAAAGAAGCGGCGAAUCUCAGCUAAUCGAUGUGGUGGGAGCUCCUUGAUGUCAUUGUAGUGACGAUAUUCGGGAUCAUCAGCACAAACUGCUAUAAUCUUGUCAUCUUUUUCACCCUGGUCAAUCAUAGGCAUAAGGCCUAUGGCUUUAGCCCUCAGAAAACAUCCAGGAAGAACUGGCUCCUGCAUGAUGACCAAGACAUCCAUGGGGUCAUUGUCCUCGCAAAGAGUCCGAGGAAUGAAGCCAUAGUUAUGUGGGUACACAACAGAUGAGUAAAGAAUCCGAUCAACCUUGAUCAGACCAGUUUUUUUGUCAAGUUCAUACUUCACUUUGCUCCCUUUUCCUAUUUCAACCACACAGUUGAAA
rnacentral:misc_RNA from 1 species